CCUACGGGGGGCAGCAGUAGGGGAUAUUGCACAAUGGGGGGAACCCUGAUGCAGCGACGCCGCGUGGGUGAAGGAGCGUUUCGGCGCGUAAAGCCCUAUCAGCAGGGAAGAAGAUGACGGUACCUGACCAAGAAGCACCGGCUAACUACGUGCCAGCAGCCGCGGUAAUACGUAGGGGGCAAGCGUUAUCCGGAUUUACUGGGUGUAAAGGGGGCGCAGGCGGCAAUGCAAGCCAGGAGUGAAAGCCCGGGGCUCAACCACGGGACUGCUCUUGAAACUGCAUGGCUGGAGUAUAGGAGGGGUAGGCGGAAUUCCUAGUGUAGCGGUGAAAUGCGUAGAGAUUAGGAGGAACACUGGUGGCGAAGGCGGCCUGCUGGACUGUGACUGACGUUGAGGCCCGAAGGCGUGGGGAGCAAACAGGAUUAGAUACCCGUGUAGUC
rnacentral:rRNA from 1 species